rnacentral:rRNA from 1 species
GUUCAUCAAGUCUUCAAAAAAGAAUAUAUACGAUUGCAUUGCAUAUACUAACGGAUGCGAUCAUACCAGCACUAAUGCACCGGAUCCCAUCAGAACUCCGCAGUUAAGCGAGCUUGGGCGAGAGUAGUACUAGGAUGGGUGACCUCCCGGGAAGUCCUCGUGUUGCAUCCCUCUUUUAUAUUUAACCUCUUUUU